rnacentral:rRNA from 1 species
UACGUAGGUGGCAAGCGUUGUCCGGAUUUACUGGGCGUAAAGGGCUCGUAGGCGGCCAACUAAGUCAGACGUGAAAUCCCUCGGCUUAACCGGGGAACUGCAUCUGAUACUGGAUGGCUUGAGUUCGGGAGAGGGAUGCGGAAUUCCAGGUGUAGCGGUGAAAUGCGUAGAUAUCAAGAGGAACACCUGAGGUGAAGACGGGUUGCUGGGCUGACACUGACGCUGAGGCGCGAAAGCCAGGGGAGCGAACGGG